GUAAGUCACUUAACCUGGCAAAACCUCACUUUCCUAAUUUCUAAAAUGGAAUAACAAUACCUGUUUUGCAAGUUUGUUCUGAGAAUGAAAGAUACUAUAUCCGGUGUUUCGCACCUUUAUAAAGCAGGAAUGUCCUUAGGCUUGUGCACUUUUAUAGUUCAGCCUUUCUUAGUGGGGACGUACUGCCCCCUAGGGGGAAUUCUGGAAAUAUAUGGGGGUGGGGAAGCUGUUUCCCCAAGAUUCAGAGGCAUGAGGUUUACAGGUGGUUGGGGCCUGAGAUGGUAGGAUUCUGCGAUUCGAGAGACAGUCCCGCACAAUAAAGGAUUACCCCGCGGCCCUACAAUCUUGGAGAGUCUUCCUAUACAUUCCUGAAUGCAACUACAUGUAAAUCAAGGCUUGAUUGCACUUCGGUUUGGAGGUUUACCAAGAAUUGUUCACCAUUUGGGAAAACCACGCGCUUCACUGGCCACGCUGCUCCUGGUCCCGGAGACCCAACAAUCUGCAUUUGCUGCCGUCACGUUCAGGCGACUCCCCAGGCGCGGCUACUGGCUACUUCUCUACAUUUUCCAAGGGUAGUAGUGCCAAGCAUUUUCAGAUUGAAAUAUGUACUUUCUUACUUAUUGCUUUCCUUCUAUUUCCUCUUUAUGCUACAGUUAGGGCAUAAUACAGUUUUGUUGUUGUUGUUAAUGGGGUGAGCAGGGGGCUUGUUUUCGAAUAAUUUUACGUCAGGGUGGGAAGUCGGUACUGGGUUGCAGGGGGCUGGGAACCAGCUCCGCAGCCAGGAGAGGCUGCAGACACCGGAGGAUCGGGUUCUGAGAGAGACGCAUACGGACUUGGGGCCGGGGGUGACUCGCCGGGAACUGAGGGCCCGCGACCCUCCCGCCCAAGUGGCACCAAAGGGUGGAAGCCCCCAAAUUAGGAAAAUUCCUUCUCCCCUAGGGCCGCCCCUGGAAGCGGCCGCGGGUGAGUGGCAAGACGCUUACCCGUACCCGACCUCCGCGUGUGGAGCGUUGCCAUAGAGACCGACGCGCCCUGGACGCUACACCCACACAGCCCAGGACGCUAGGCCUUUUCUGGGCCGCCCCCGCCGCCCCAGGCCGAAACUCCAUCCCUUUCCCCCACCCUGCCGAGCUCCCGAAGCCCUGUGGCGGCUCCGGGCAAGAACUAAGGGCGGCCCCUGCAAGCGUACCUGCUCCGCCGGCUCCGCGGGGCCAACGAAGCGUCCCGGAAGGAUCCGGGUUCCCGGGGCCGCUGCGCCUCCCUGCGGCCGGGGCGGAGCCGCGCAAGGAAACGCGGGCGGGGCGCGGGUCUGGAAUGGCCUGGGGACCAGUCCACCUCGAGGCAGGGUCAGGCGCCAGGGAGUUUGGAGACCCGGCAGAGUCACCCCGCAACCGUCCCGUUGCCUUGGGUCGGGAUUCCUUUGCUUUGCAGUCUACAGUAGCGCUCCCCGCUCUUGCUUAAGGUGCACCAGACGCUUCGCAAACGUUCUCUCUUUUCUUUACAACCCGUCAAGGCAGUAGUCUCCCAGUUUUACAAAUGAGCUAAACUGAUACAGGAAGAGUGUUUCUUGUACAAGGUCUCAAAUAUUGCCAAAAGGUGGACGUGAGACUGGAACGGCUUCCUACUCUUUGGGCCACAGCGGCGGCCUGCCAAGGGACUUUCUAACGAAACCGGCGCUGCCCAAGCGUCUGCACUCACGCCCAGUGCUCAUCCCACCCUGCCCCAUUCUGGAUUUGCACAUCAAGCUGCUGUCUAAAAUGUUUAAGUAGUUGAAAAAAAUGUAAUUUUCAGCAAUUGUAAAUAGUGACGCAAGUUAAAUAUAUCCAACUGAAUCGAAACACUACAGUAAUAUGGUACCCUCCAUCGUCCACCUCACACACACACACAAAAAAAACCCACAAAAAACUCUUAAAAAUCCUAAGUUUACAUCAUUACUCUUCCUUCUUAAAAUCAUCUCUCCGCCGCCCCCUCCCCGUCCCUGCCACAAAAAAUUUCUUCUUCUUGUAAGCACUCUAGUCAAGUUGGAUUAGGGCUGAACUAAAGGCCUCAUUUUGAUCUAAUUGCAUCUUUAAAGUCUCUGUCUCCGAAUAUAGUCUCAUUAUUAGUUAUUGGUGUUAGAUUUCAGUGUGUGAAUUGGGGGUGGCCGCGGCGGGGGUGAAUGCAGCCCGUAGCAGGAGUCCAAAAGUUGUUUAGCAGUUGGAAUAUCCAAUGUUAGUUUCUUUGGCAGUGAAAUUCCCUCAAAAUAUUAGUAGGUAUAUGAUCUACUUGUUUUUGUUUAAUUACACGUGUCAGUGACCACACCCAAAUUUCUUCCCUAGAAUUCUUAGACAUGCUUCAUUAAAUCAUAUCUUCAUUCUACUUUCCUGAUAGAAUUUUACCCGUUAUCUUUUUCAUACUUGAAAGUCUUAUUGAUCAUCCUAUCAUACUGCUGAAAGAAGUACAGAAAUGGAAAUUUAUAUUUCCUGCUCAUAGAAUUUUAGUUUUUCUGGAUUAAAUUGUUAAAAUUACUAGUACUACACAAUUGAUCACAAUAAAAUGUAUCACAAUACUGAUAAUUAUUAAAUAUAAAAAAUAAAAUUGUAUUGAAAAUUCAUCUCUUUAAGACCUGGAUGGGCUUCCCAUGCACCGUUAGUUCCUGUAUCCAUAGAUGAAUGCUAACUUCUUGCUACAAUGAAGUUUAACACUGAUUCUCUUCCAUUUUCUUAAGGCUGUAAGUGCUGAGAAAUAAGUACAUAGGA
rnacentral:lncRNA from 10 species